rnacentral:rRNA from 1 species
UACAGAGGGUGCGAGCGUUAAUCGGAAUUACUGGGCGUAAAGCGCGCGUAGGCGGCUUUGCAAGCCGGAUGUGAAAUCCCUGGGCUUAACCUGGGAACUGCAUUCGGGACUGCAUUGCUAGAGUAUGGGAGAGGGAAGUGGAAUUUCAGGUGUAGCGGUGAAAUGCGUAGAUAUCUGAAGGAACAUCAGUGGCGAAAGCGACUUCCUGGACCAAUACUGACGCUCAUGUGCGAAAGCGUGGGGAGCAAACAGG